GAAACGACUGCUAAGACUGGAUAGGAAAUUAGAAGGCAUCUUUUAAUUUUUAAAAGACCUUUUUCGAAAGGUAUACUUAAAGAGGGGCUUGCGGCACAUUAGUUAGUUGGUAGGGUAAAAGCCUACCAAGACCAUGAUGUGUAGCUGGACUGAGAGGUUGAACAGCCACAUUGGGACUGAGACACGGCCCAAACUCCUACGGGAGGCAGCAGUAGGGAAUUUUCGGCAAUGGAGGAAACUCUGACCGAGCAACGCCGCGUGAACGAUGAAGUAUUUCGGUAUGUAAAGUUCUUUUAUUGAAGAAGAAAAAAUAGUGGAAAAACUAUCUUGACGAUAUUCAAUGAAUAAGCCCCGGCAAACUAUGUGCCAGCAGCCGCGGUAAUACCUAGGGGGCGAGCGUUAUCCGGAAUUAUUGGGCGUAAAGGGUGCGUAGGCGGUUUGGUAAGUCUAUAGUUUAAUUUCAGUGCUUAACACUGUUCUGCUAUAGAAACUAUCAGACUAGAGUGAGAUAGAGGCAAGUGGAAUUCCAUGUGUAGCGGUAAAAUGCGUAAAUAUAUGGAGGAACACCAGAGGCGUAGGCGGCUUGCUGGGUCUUUACCGACGCUGAGGCACGAAAGCGUGGGGAGCAAACAGGAUUAGAUACCCUGGUAGUCCACGCCGUAAACGAUGAGUACUAAGUGUCGGGGAAACUCGGUACUGAAGUUAACACAUUAAGUACUCCGCCUGAGUAGUACGUACGCAAGUAUGAAACUUAAAGGAAUUGACGGGACUCCGCACAAGCGGUGGAUCAUGUUGUUUAAUUCGAAAGGUACCCGAAAAACCUCACCAGGUCUUGACAUGCUUCUGCAAAGCUGUAGAACACAGUGGAGGUUAUCAGUUGCACAGGUGGUGCAUGGUUGUCGUCAGCUCGUGUCGUGAGAUGUUGGGUUAAGUCCCGCAACGAGCGCAACCCUUAUUGUUAGUUACCAGCACGUAAUGGUGGGGACUUUAGCAAGACUGCCAGUGAUAAAUUGGAGGAAGGUGGGGACGACGUCAAAUCAUCAUGCCCCUUGUGACCUGGGCUACAAACGUGAUACAAUGGCUGUUACAAAGGGUAGCUGAAGCGCAAGUUUUUGGCGAAUCUCAAAAAAACAGUCUCAGUUCGGAUUGAAGUCUGCAACUCGACUUCAUGAAGUUGGAAUCGCUAGUAAUCACGAAUCAGCAUGUCGCGGUGAAUACGUUCUCGGGGUUUGUACACACGGCCCGUCAAA
rnacentral:rRNA from 1 species